UAUACUAACUUUUCCAUGUGUCACUUUCUCUCUUAUUUUGGCAACUGGAUUAUGUAGCUGUUGUGCGUGAACGAAUGUCAAAUGGCUACUUGCUUAUUGCAACUAGCGGAGGACUGAACCAACAAAGAACUGGGAGUUCGUGUUGUUACUUUGUGGUACCGCCCUCCGGAGCUUUUGAUGGGUUCUACUGAUUAUGGUCCAGCUGUGGAUAUCUGGAGUGUUGGCUGCGUGUUUGCGGAGCUACUUGUUGGGAAGCCUAUACUUCAGGGGAGAACUGAGAUCCUUCAUGACAAACAAAUAGUGCAUAUUUUGGUGGCUAGCACAAGUGUUAAGACAUCAUACUUUAGUUAGCAUUUUUCUUCUGUUUCAUGUAUUUUUUUUAGACUUCAUUUGAAUUUAAGUUAUCUUGUU